CAGCUUCCGGUCCAGCAGGUGGCGGUAUGGCGCUGUGUAGCAGCUCGUGUUAAAAAGAAGAGGAUGCGCAUGCGUGAGGAGAAGAAGCGGGAGAGUCAGAGUACCGGGAGCAGCAGGAAGAGGAGAAAGAGCCGUUUGUCUGAAUUUGUGGUCUCACAUGUUCAUUCAUCGGUGGAGGACGCCGCCUGUGACGAUGCUGACCUUCAGGGACACCGUAGAGAGAGUCAUCUUUCUUCUUCUGUCUGACUUUAAGUCGUCGGGGUCCGUACACCUGGACACAGGCUGAACCUCUCUGUGGACUCUGUGGACUCGUGAAAGCCUGCUGAAGGGUUUGGAAGACCCUGUCGGCCAUGUUUCUUAGCUUCUGUCCAGUCAAAGAAAAAAUCAGCUGUUGGUGUUUCCUGGCUGAACCUCUCUGUGGACUCUGUGGACUCGUGAAAGCCUGCUGAAGGGGUCUUCGAUGAACAUCUCAAAGUUAGAGAUGAUCCUGCUCUUCUUUGUCUUCUUCAGCUCGUGUUUUCUGUGGAUCACCAAAUUUCAUCGUGUCUCGCCUCAGGAUCGACCCCCCCCCCCCAAUGAAAAUUAAAUCUAGUGAGAAUUAAAUAUUUAAUGAACAUUUGUACAGUUUGGAUCUUGGAACAAAAUAAAAAUGUUUCAAAAGUGUAUCAGACUUUUGUAGGACUGUUGGUGUCUGUUUAGGGUCGUGACCCGUCUGUAGGACUGUUUAGGGUCGUGACCCGUCUGUAGGACUGUACUGUGUGACCUCUCCUCGGUCUAAAGCGUCCUCGGGUCCCCUGAAAGCUUCUUUAUAAAUGGUAAAAGAUGUGAGGUCAUGUAAAGUGUGAACUUUGAUUUCAUAAUGUUUUGAGUUCACAGUAAAGAAAAGUUCAGAGUGAUGUGUAUAUAUAUUCUGUAUUUAGAUGUGUAUAAAUAAAUAAAAACAUGAAACAUUAGAAA